GGUUAACGCUGGCGGCGUGCCUAACACAUGCAAGUCGAACGGUUCUAAGCGCGAGCUUAGGAUAGUGGCGAACGGGUGAGUAAAAGGUAGGAAUCUACCCCUUGGACGGAGAUAGCUACUGGAAACGGUAGGUAAACUUCGAUAAGCCCGAGAGGGGAAAGUGGUGAGACAGCCGAGGGAUGAGCCUACUCUCCGUCAGGUAGUUGGUGAGAUAAAAGCUUACCAAGCCGAUGACGGAUAACCGGUGUGAGAGCAUGAACGGUCACAAGGGCACUGAGAGACGGGCCCUACUCCUACGGGAGGCAGCAGUGGGGAAUCUUGGACAAUGGGCGAAAGCCUGAUCCAGCGACGCCGCGUGGAGGAAGAAGUCCUUCGGGAUGUAAACUUCUGAACUAGCCGAAUAAAAGGCCUGUGGACACACAGGAGAAGAAAGUAGGCUAGGAAAAGUCCCGGCUAACUACGUG
rnacentral:rRNA from 1 species